rnacentral:rRNA from 1 species
AUCGAACGCUAGCGGGAUGCUUUACACAUGCAAGUCGAACGAGUGGCGGACGGGUGAGUAAUAUAUCGGAACGUGGCUAGUAGCGGGGGAUAACUACUCGAAAGAGUGGCUAAAACCGCACACUAUUGGAGCGGGCGAUAUCGGAUUAGCUAGUCGGUGGGGUAAAGGCUCACCAAGGCAACGAUCCGUAGCUGGUUUGAGAGGAAGACCGGCCACACUGGGACUGAGACACGGCCCAGACUCCUACGGGAGGCAGCAGUGGGGAAUUUUGGGCAAUGGGCGAAAGCCUGAUCGAGCCAUCCCGCGUGUAUGAGAAGGCCUUCGGGUUGUAAAACUCUUUUGGCAGAGAAGCGGUAUCUGCAGAAAAAGCACCGGCUAACUACGUGCCAGCAGCCGCGGUAAUUC